rnacentral:rRNA from 1 species
CAACCCUUGUCUUUAGUUGCCAUCAUUAAGUUGGGCACUCUAGAGAGACUGCCAGGGAUAACCUGGAGGAAGGUGGGGAUGACGUCAAAUCAUCAUGCCCCUUAUGCUUAGGGCUACACACGUGCUACAAUGGGUAGUACAGAGGGUUGCCAAGCCGUAAGGUGGAGCUAAUCCCUUAAAGCUACUCUCAGUUCGGAUUGUAGGCUGAAACUCGCCUACAUGAAGCUGGAGUUACUAGUAAUCGCAGAUCAGAAUGCUGCGGUGAAUGCGUUCCCGGGUCUUGUACACACCGCCCGUCACACCACGGGAGUUGGAGACGCCCGAAGCCGAUUAUCUAACCUUUUGGAAGAAGUCGUCGAAGGUGGAAUCAAUAACUGGGGUGAAGUCGUAACAAGGUAGCCGUAUCGGAAGGUGCGGCUGGAUCACCUCCUUUCUAAGGA